rnacentral:rRNA from 1 species
GACGAACGCUGGCGGCGUGCUUAAUACAUGCAAGUCAACUGAACUUGAGGUAGCAAUAUCACAAGAGAGGUGGCGCACGGGUGAGUAACACGUAGGUAAUCUGCCUUUAGGUCUGACAUAAUUCCGCGAAAGCGGGACUAAUAUCAGAUGAUGCAGCGGCUCGACAUCGAGACAGUUGUUAAACCUUCGGGGCCUAAAGAUGAGCCUGCGUCNGAUUAGGUAGUUGGCGGAGUAAAAGCCCACCAAGCCUGCGAUCAGUAGCUGGUCUGAGAGGAUGAUCAGCCACACUGGGACUGAGACACGGUCCAGACUCCUACGGGAGGCAGCAGUAAGGAAUAUUGCUCAAUGG